rnacentral:rRNA from 1 species
AGGGCACCACCAGGAGUGGAGCCUGCGGCUUAAUUUGACUCAACACGGGGAAACUUACCCGGCCUGGACACUGGAAGGAUUGACAGAUUGAGAGCUCUUUCUUGAUUCAGUGGGUGGUGGUGCAUGGCCGUUCUUAGUUGGUGGAGCAAUUUGUCGGGUUAAUUCCGAUAACGAACGACACUCUAGCCUAUUAAAUAGGCUCCCGGCUUUUAAACCCCGGGAGGACUUCUUAAAGGGACAGGUGGCGGUUCAGCCGCACGAAAGAGAGCAAUAACAGGUCUGUGAUGCCCUUUGUUGUCGGGGGCCGCACGCGCGCUACACUGAAGAGAUCAGCGUGCUUUAUGUUCCUGCUCCGACCAGAGGGGGGAACCCACUGAACCUUCUUCGUGAGGGGUAUAAAAGAUUAAAAUUAUUCUUCUUGAAAGAAGAAUUCCCAAUAAGUGAGAGCCAUAUCCGCACUGAUAAUUAUAUCUGCAUUCUAUGUAACCGCCAGUCGUCUCUACGGCCUUGUACGACCUA